GGAGAGAUACCCAAGUGGUCAAGGGGACUGUUUGCUAAACAGUUAGCACUAUUAUUAGUGGCGCAGGUUCGAACCCUGUUCUCUCCU
rnacentral:tRNA from 1 species